UCGCCUGUUUAACAAAAACAUGGCUCCCUGUUGUUUAAUUUUAAUAUAGGGAGUCGAGCCUGCCCGGUGGCAUUCUGUGCUAAACGGCCGCAAUUUGUAAUUGUGCUAAGGUAGCGCAAUCAAUCGUCCUUUAAUUGGGGAAAGGUAUGAAAGGUUUGACGAGGGGGCUUCUGUCUCGGGAAUAAAUUCUGAAAUUUUCUUUUAAGUGAAAAGACUUAAAUUUUGCAAUAAGACGAGAAGACCCCGGUGAGCUUGAUUAUUCUGGGCUAAAUAGUUCCGAUGAAGUUUUGUUGGGGCAACAGGAAGGAAAAAAAACUCUUUCCAGGGAGAUGAGGAUCCUCUUUGAGUGAAUAAAGCAAAAGCUACCACGGGGAUAACAGCGUAAUUCUUUUUUAGAGAUCUAAUCGAAGAAGGAGUUUGCGACCUCGAUGUUGGAUUAGGGUUUCGUCCUGGUGCAGGGGCUAGGAUGGAGGGACUGUUCGUCCUUUAAUCCCCUACAUGAUCUGAGUUCAGACCGGA
rnacentral:rRNA from 1 species